rnacentral:rRNA from 1 species
UACGUAGGGGGCUAGCGUUGUCCGGAAUCAUUGGGCGUAAAGAGCGCGUAGGCGGCCAACUAAGUCAGACGUGAAAUCCCUCGGCUUAACCGGGGAACUGCGUCUGAUACUGGAUGGCUUGAGUUUGGGAGAGGGAUGCGGAAUUCCAGGUGUAGCGGUGAAAUGCGUAGAUAUCCGGAGGAACACCGGUGGCGAAGGCGGCUUCCUGGACCGACACUGACGCUGAGGCGCGAAAGCUAGGGGAGCAAACGGG